AUACGGAGGGGGUUAGCGUUGUUCGGAAUUACUGGGCGUAAAGCGUGCGUAGGCGGACUAUUAAGUCAGAGGUGAAAUCCCGGGGCUCAACCCCGGAACUGCCUUUGAUACUGGUAGUCUUGAGGUCGAGAGAGGUGAGUGGAAUUCCAAGUGUAGAGGUGAAAUUCGUAGAUAUUUGGAGGAACACCAGUGGCGAAGGCGGCUCACUGGCUCGAUUCUGACGCUGAGGUACGAAAGUGUGGGGAGCAAACAGGAUUAGAAACCCUAGUAGUCC
rnacentral:rRNA from 1 species